rnacentral:rRNA from 1 species
UACGUAGGUGGCAAGCGUUGUCCGGAUUUACUGGGCGUAAAGAGCGCGCAGGCGGUCGGAUAAGUCGAAUGUGAAAGCCCCCGGCUCAACUGGGGAGGGUCAUUCGAUACUGUUCGACUCGAAGGCAGGAGAGGGAAGUGGAAUUCCCGGUGUAGUGGUGAAAUGCGUAGAGAUCUGGAGGAACACCGAUGGCGAAGGCAGCCUUCUGGGCCAACAUUGACGCUCAUGCACGAAAGCGUGGGGAGCAAACAGG